rnacentral:rRNA from 1 species
UACGUAGGUGGCAAGCGUUGUCCGGAUUUACUGGGCGUAAAGCGCGCGCAGGCGGCACACUAAGUACGAUGUGAAAUCUCCCUGCUCAACGGGGAGGGUGCAUAGUAAACUGGUGAGCUAGAGGACGGUAGAGGGGGGUGGAAUUGCUGGUGUAGCGGUGAAAUGCGUAGAGAUCAGCAGGAACACCCGUGGCGAAGGCGGCCCCCUGGGCCGAACCUGACGCUGAGGCGCGAAGGCUAGGGGAGCGAACGGG